GUCUUAUCUGCCUGUGUUUCUCCUUUCCCAAGGAGACUCUAAGGCAACUGAAGAAUCCCAAAGAUUACGAUAUUGCAAGUAUCAAAGCAAUGAAACAGGCGCCUCUGAAAGCGAAUGGGAUCUCUGUGCCAGCCCGCAGGGCGCAUUAGCCACCGCGCAGCUCCAACCGUACCGAGCAGAGAUGUUGAUGGGCGCAAAAUGUGCCCCGGCAUUGCAGCAAGCUGGGAAGGUGUCUUUUGGCCACUUUUGUGACACAGUCGUGUAUUAUUUCCAACCCGAGUUGCUUGUUCCUGUGGGCUCGCUAAGUCACACAGGAACUGAUUCUGUAUCGUGGAGCAGCACCCAGAGCUUGGUUCCAGCAAACCAAGAGGGUUUCCCACAAAUUUCCACUGAUGGUACAGUUUAAAAAAAAAAGCAAAACCAACUCUGGGCUUUUUUCAUGCUUUCCAGGUUUCCCCAAAUGCUCCAUCACGGAGGGUGAGACGUGGGGGAAAACCCCCGUGGUGGAAAGGAGAGGGACACGCUGACUGGGUGGGCUGGGGAGGCCAAAAUGCCCCCCGCGACGCCUGCAGUGACUUGUCCCGGUGGGCCCGAGAGUGCUUUAUUCCCUUCCUCUUUGCAGCAACCUCUCACAUACUUGAAGCCUGUUAUUAUGUCUCCCCUCAGCCUCCUCUUCUCUAGACUAAACAAAUCCAGUCCUUCAGCCCCUUCCGCACAGGCCAAGUUUUCUCGGCUCCUGGUUGCUAUCGCUGCCUUCCCCUGGCCUCUCUCCAGUGGGUCACGCUCGCUGGGCUACAGAGUCCAGGAGCAGAGCCGAGGGGAUGGGAGAGGCGAUAAAAAGUGGAAGGCUGGACCUCUCUUAUUGGCAGAGGUUCACACACAUCUCGUCCCAGCAUCUCAUCCCAGCAUCUCGCGGGACAGUCCCCAGAGCCCUCCUGGACUGGCGAGCGUCGAACCCUUUGGGGAGACCACUGCCAGGAAGAUUUAG
rnacentral:lncRNA from 1 species